UUGUCUGCUGGGUUUGGACCGGCAAGCGGAGACCUGGGACCGUGGGAACAGUGAUGUGGAGUGAAUGCCUGUUUCCUUGGGUGUGAAGACCAUGCCUUGCUACUCUGAGGUUCGGCACUGGGGAAGCAAGAGCUGCUGCCCAUGAGGUACAUUGCUGCUUACCCCUAUCAACACUAGAAGAAAACAGGCCUCAUAGGAUUUUGUGCAGCAUUCCAGGUUGCUUUUUUAUUUUAAUGUUCAGGGCGAAAGGAUAACACCGGGAAAUCGUCACUUUAAGUGUAGGGUUAGUACAAAUUCAGAGAAAAUGAAGCUCACUGUCGAAGGUGAGCUGGGAGCUCCUCCCCUUUGCACCCUCAGUGGGCUCUUGACUCCCCCCUCCUCCCGUGUUUCAGGUGUGGCUCCUCCUCUUUCUUCUUCGCGUCAUUGACAUCCUGCUUUCUCUGCACCUCUGCCUGAACUGCGUCCUGAACUUGGCCGUCAUUACAGAGUGGUGACCAGGAGGGAGCAAGACUCUCUGGUCCACAUCUUGUUUAGGGAGACCAGUUUUGCUCCUAUGUGGGGCAAUGGGCUAUGCACAGACAGCCUGGUCUCCAGUCGAGCUGAGAUCUUGAAUUCCGGACAGUAGGCAUUUGACCAUGUCUCCUAGACCCCUGGCUCCUGUCGAAGUUACCGCUCCCACAGCCCCCACAGGAGAGGCAAGUGGCUUUUAGUCACAUAGACAAUGUCCCAAGUUUCUGACCUUCUGGAUAGACUCCUCCCUACAGUUACCUAGCAACAGCAAGAUAACACAGCCCACUAUAAGAGGGACUGUUUGGCCCCUCCUAGCUCUCUAAGCUUUUACCUCUCCCUCUUAAGCUCUCUUUAAUCUUUCUUACUCUGUAGCUCAUUCUCUCUUUCCCUUCCCUUGCUCACUCCACGUGGCCAUGACCAGUCUCUCUCUCCUUUACCUUCUCUCUUUCCCCUGCCUUUCUACAAUAAAG